GAGUUUGAUCCUGGCUCAGAUUGAACGCUGGCGGCAUGCCUUACACAUGCAAGUCGAACGGCAGCAUGAUCUAGCUUGCUAGAUUGAUGGCGAGUGGCGAACGGGUGAGUAAUACAUCGGAACGUGCCCUGUAGUGGGGGAUAACUAGUCGAAAGAUUAGCUAAUACCGCAUACGACCUGAGGGUGAAAGUGGGGGACCGCAAGGCCUCAUGCUAUAGGAGCGGCCGAUGUCUGAUUAGCUAGUUGGUGGGGUAAAGGCCCACCAAGGCGACGAUCAGUAGCUGGUCUGAGAGGACGAUCAGCCACACUGGGACUGAGACACGGCCCAGACUCCUACGGGAGGCAGCAGUGGGGAAUUUUGGACAAUGGGCGAAAGCCUGAUCCAGCAAUGUCGCGUGUGUGAAGAAGGCCUCGG
rnacentral:rRNA from 1 species